ACGGGAGGCAGCAGUGGGGAAUAUUGGGCAAUGGGCGAAAGCCUGACCCAGCGACGCCGCGUGAGGGAAGAAGGUCUUCGGAUUGUAAACCUUAGUCAACAGGGAAGAAGCAAGUGACGGUACCUGUGGAGGAAGCCACGGCUAACUACGUGCCAGCAGCCGCGGUAAUACGUAGGUGGCGAGCGUUGUCCGGAUUUACUGGGUGUAAAGGGUGCGCAGGCGGGACUGCAAGUUGGAUGUGAAAUACCGAAGCUUAACUUCGGAGCUGCAUCCAAAACUGUGGUUCUUGAGUGGAGUAGAGGUAAGCGGAAUUCCGAGUGUAGCGGUGAAAUGCGUAGAUAUUCGGAGGAACACCAGUGGCGAAGGCGGCUUACUGGGCUCUAACUGACGCUGAGGCACGAAAGCAUGGGUAGCAAACACGAUUAGAUACCCUGGUA
rnacentral:rRNA from 1 species